UUUAAGUGGAAGGGUUCUUUGAUUUUCGUUGUUUUAGAAUUUUCAUAAGAAGCAUGAUGUAGUAGUGUAUUGGGUAAAAAAGUUCUUUCUAUGAAUUGAAGGGCAUGAUAGCAUUCUGCUAUAAUUGGGAGAAUGCCCUUUAGCAAAUAUGUUUAAUUUCUAAUUUUUGUGCAAGUCUAUAGUUUUUUAUUUUGACAGUUGCGGAGAAUCCCAACUUAUUUUCUCUAAUUAAGGUCUUGAUAAAGCUUGUGAUUUUGCAGAAGGUGUUAGGAAUCUCUCUCAAGGCGUGGAAGGAAGCUUUUGCUAUUGUUGGAUCUGAUGCUAUUGUUUUCCUGAUGCAUAUGACCACUCGUUCCCUAUAAUUCGAAGUUUUCUUCGAACAAUCACAAUGGUACAAUCAGAUUUUGUGAGACCUUUUAGCAAAGAGGACUGCCAAGGGAAGUAGAAAG